UACGGAGGGAGCUAGCGUUGUUCGGAAUUACUGGGCGUAAAGCGCACGUAGGCGGCUUUGUAAGUCAGAGGUGAGAGCCUGGAGCUCAACUCCAGAACUGCCUUUGAGACUGCAUCGCUUGAAUCCAGGAGAGGUGAGUGGAAUUCCGAGUGUAGAGGUGAAAUUCGUAGAUAUUCGGAAGAACACCAGUGGCGAAGGCGGCUCACUGGACUGGUAUUGACGCUGAGGUGCGAAAGCGUGGGGAGCAAACAGG
rnacentral:rRNA from 1 species